AUAAAUCUUCGGGGCAGGGUGAAAUUCCCGACCGACGGUAAGUUACGCGCGUUGUAACAAGUCCGUGACCCACUUUAUAUUUAAUAAGUGGUUGAUCCGGUGUGAUUCCGGAACCGACAGUAUAGUCUGGAUGGGAGAAGAUUGCA
rnacentral:ncRNA from 2 species